rnacentral:snRNA from 1 species
AGCUUUGUGCAGUGGCAGUAUCAUAGCCAAUGAGGUUUAUCCGAGGCGCGAUUAUUGCUAAUUGUAAACAUAGUUGUAAUUUAUUUUGUUAUGAUUAAAAUUCAACAGUGAGCUUGUUGCUUGGGCUCUCAUCUAGUCAAGAAAACAAAGUAAACAUUUAAAAAUA